rnacentral:rRNA from 1 species
UUUAUGCGUUGUUGGGUAGGGGAGCGUUCUGUAAGCCUGCGAAGGUGGCCUGUGAGGGUUGCUGGAGGUAUCAGAAGUGCGAAUGCUGACAUAAGUAACGAUAAAGCGGGUGAAAAGCCCGCUCGCCGGAAGACCAAGGGUUCCUGUCCAACGUUAAUCGGGGCAGGGUGAGUCGACCCCUAAGGCGAGGCCGAAAGGCGUAGUCGAUGGGAAACAGGUUAAUAUUCCUGUACUUGGUGUUACUGCGAAGGGGGGACGGAGAAGGCUAUGUUGGCCGGGCGACGGUUGUCCCGGUUUAAGCGUGUAGGUGUGUGUUCCAGGUAAAUCCGGUUCACUUUAACACUGAGGCGUGACGACGAGGCACUACGGUGCUGAAGCAACAAAUGCCCUGCUUCCAGGAAAAGCCUCUAAGCAUCAGGUAACAUCAAAUCGUACCCCAAACCGACACAGGUGGUCAGGUAGAGAAUACCAAGGCGCUUGAGAGAACUCGGGUGAAGGAACUAGGCAAAAUGGUGCCGUAACUUCGGGAGAAGGCACGCUGACACGUAGGUGAAGUGAUUUACUCACGGAGCUGAAGUCAGUCGAAGAUACCAGCUGGCUGCAACUGUUUAUUAAAAACACAGCACUGUGCAAACACGAAAGUGGACGUAUACGGUGUGACGCCUGCCCGGUGCCGGAAGGUUAAUUGAUGGGGUCAGCGCAAGCGAAGCUCCUGAUCGAAGCCCCGGUAAACGGCGGCCGUAACUAUAACGGUCCUAAGGUAGCGAAAUUCCUUGUCGGGUAAGUUCCGACCUGCACGAAUGGCGUAAUGAUGGCCAGGCUGUCUCCACCCGAGACUCAGUGAAAUUGAACUCGCUGUGAAGAUGCAGUGUACCCGCGGCAAGACGGAAAGACCCCGUGAACCUUUACUAUAGCUUGACACUGAACAUUGAGCCUUGAUGUGUAGGAUAGGUGGGAGGCUUUGAAGUGUGGACGCCAGUCUGCAUGGAGCCGACCUUGAAAUACCACCCUUUAAUGUUUGAUGUUCUAACGUGGACCCGUUACCCGGGUUGCGGACAGUGUCUGGUGGGUAGUUUGACUGGGGCGGUCUCCUCCUAAAGAGUAACGGAGGAGCACGAAGGUUGGCUAAUCCUGGUCGGACAUCAGGAGGUUAGUGCAAUGGCAUAAGCCAGCUUGACUGCGAGCGUGACGGCGCGAGCAGGUGCGAAAGCAGGUCAUAGUGAUCCGGUGGUUCUGAAUGGAAGGGCCAUCGCUCAACGGAUAAAAGGUACUCCGGGGAUAACAGGCUGAUACCGCCCAAGAGUUCAUAUCGACGGCGGUGUUUGGCACCUCGAUGUCGGCUCAUCACAUCCUGGGGCUGAAGUAGGUCCCAAGGGUAUGGCUGUUCGCCAUUUAAAGUGGUACGCGAGCUGGGUUUAGAACGUCGUGAGACAGUUCGGUCCCUAUCUGCCGUGGGCGCUGGAGAACUGAGGGGGGCUGCUCCUAGUACGAGAGGACCGGAGUGGACGCAUCACUGGUGUUCGGGUUGUCAUGCCAAUGGCACUGCCCGGUAGCUAAAUGCGGAAGAGAUAAGUGCUGAAAGCAUCUAAGCACGAAACUUGCCCCGA